CUGCUGAAGAGGUGAAAAAGGGCAAUCCACGGUUUCUAGCUAGAUGGGAGCAUGAGAGAAAGACUGUCCAGACAAGGAGGUGCGCCCUUGCCUAACCUGUGACCCUCACAGUGCUCUAGUCACCAGGUGAAAGUGCUGGGGAGGAGGAGCUGAAGUCAAGGCCAGGAAUUGGCAGGACAGUACUCAGACACCUCUCCUCCAGACUUUCUAACAGCACUCCAGCUUUCUCGCACCAAAUCCUUCCAGCUGAAUAGUGGAACCAGGUGGCCCCUUUACACCUUCCUCUGCCUCACUUGAGUCACGGUAAGCAGCUCUACCAUCAUUCUUUUCAGUGCAUGGAGAAUCUGUGACCAGAGAUCACCUAGGAAUUUACCAACGAUUGUCUCCAUACACACAGUCAGUGGAGCAGACGUGUCUUUGGGAUCCUGAAGGCUGCAGCUGAACAAAAUGAACCACAACAUCCCAAGGCGUCCUUGUGAUGGCAGUGCCUGUAUUCUGUCUGUGGGUAUCAUCAGUGAGCAUCAUAGUUACCUGCAAUGGCAUUCUCUCCUCCGCAGCCAUAUGAACUGAAUUAAGGAGUCUGUUCAUAGUAUCAGUGUCCAAUCUCAGAAAGCAUCAACUCUACAAUAAAUCUGUGACUGAAUUGGACUGAUGAGUACUGUAUGGACAGGUAGUCAUUUACUGUAACAAGAGCAGAAAAAUCGUGAGGUAGGAGGAAUAAUAUGUCAGCUGAGGAUUUCUGGUUGCCUGUGUCGGUGGUGCUUAGCCUCAGCAAAGGAAGAGUUCCUGUCACUCCAUACAGGUCAUGGGCCUGAGCAAAGAGAGUGUGCCAUUCCUGCUGCUGUGUGCCGCAGUGAAGCACCUGUAAAUUCAUAAAGAGGCAGCUUGUUUUUUUUUCCAUACUUCUAGAACACCAUAGGUUCAAAGCAUCCAGAAGGUUGUAAGCAGCCCCAGAUUCCUGCUGUGAGGCCAUGGGAAGGCUUCAGAGGCCAGUGAUGAGCUCUGAUAAUGACUGUUGUUCUUCCCUGAGUGAAAGUUCCAGCUGCCCUGCAGCCUUAAACCUGCCUUUGGACAGUCUGGCCUCCAGUACAACUCUUAAGUAGAAGCUGCUUAUUUGUUUUUCAUAGUUGCUGCCAAUAGGAUACUCUUUUCUUGCAGAAAAUGGCCUGAUGUUGACUGAAGCCAUAGAGCAUGUAGAUUGAACACUCAUUCUGCUUUCAGAAAGAAAAUGUGCUCAGCAUUAUUUUUCUUUUGGUGGAGUGGCAAGGUACAUGGAGAUCCUUCUCAGGUCUGGAAGCAGCAGGUUCAUCUGAAGACAAGACAGGUGUGCUUGGGCUGGCUUGGAACCUGGAGAGGAAUGGAGAGAGCAACAAUGAUGAGGAUAUGUGUACAACUACUGUCCUGAGGAUGUGGAAGCCACCUUUUUAAUCUUUUGCUCUGUAUUACUUACUGCUGCAUUCUAUUUUCUGCAUCUCUGUAACAAGGGAAAUCCUUCCCCUGCUCUGAGUGCAGAUGUUUCCUGUUGACAACAGUAUGAUAGUGCACAAUGCACACCAUAGUGUCCAUAAGAGUACGAUUGCUUGGUGCUGAUCUGGAGAUGAUCUAUUGCUGCUGUGGUGGCUCAGGCAAAGGGCUAUCAGACAGGGUACAAGUGAUUUUCUAGGUACUUCAGUGUAGUUUGUGUCAUCUACAGGAUAAGCAACACUGCCUCAGCUUUCCACACAGCUGCUAAGAACAAUUUAUUGUUGUUUGUACUGCGUGAUGUUAUUGUUUGCUGGACCUGAUUCAAACUACCAUGUUCAUUUUGGCCACAUGGAACCCAGCAAGAAUUAUGGACAAAAUGUCUGGGUCUCACAGAAGUUACCUCUGCAGUUACCCACUGUCUGUGAUGUCUCAGGGCAGAUCUCAUCAAUCACCCAGGAAAGUGUUGUAUCAGAUCUGCUAUCACAAAAUAUUUACAGUAUACAGUAGGAAAGAUGAAAUCUCUUCUAGAUAAAGUAGGGCUCUGGCUGAGUGCCCAGCCUUGCUGCCAAACAGCUGGCCUUGCUGCUGGAGCAGAAAAUAGAAAGAGUAAGUAUGUUUCUCUGGAGGAAUGUGCAUGAAGGUUAACAGAGGUAAGAGUCCUUAUUCCCACAGACCAAAAUUACCUGGAGACCUCAGUAACAUCCAUUCCAAAUUCUUGUUGGAGAGCCCUUAACAAAAUCAGUUUAUUUAAAAUGAAAGCUCAUUCAAAGACUACCAUUCUAAAUGACCAUGGAGGCACAAAUCCCUGUAUGCUUGCAGGUUGAAAAAUACGGUGUUAUGGAAAUCAGCCUCUAGGAACAAUGAGAGCUGUGCUAUGUGUUUUGUAUUUUUUCCCUUUCCAACCCAAGCCAUUCCAUGACUGAUUACUUCUAAUACUGAGAAAGCAUUUGGGUGGUUCACAUAACCUUGUUUUUACCAGCUGGCCUCUCUCAUUUGCCCUUCUGUCUGGAUUGGAUGGCUAAUUUGCUCAGCCUGCACACGCAUGUGCCAGUCAGCAUCAUAGUUAUUUUUAAGCAUGACUACUUCACUUCCAAUAGGUUGACAGAGAAGUGAAAUUCCUUGUGUGAACAUCAGGCAAUAAUUCUUUCUGUGCAAAUGGUUGUAAAGUGUAGAUUUUGUGUUUACAUCUUUGUUUCACAUCACUGAGAAAAAUAUAUUUUGCUAAAAGGAAACCAACUUGGGGCAAAAACAUACCAUUGAAGGUAGAUCUUGUCAAGAAGUGGAACAUGCAAGAUGAUGAAGCACAAUGAGGGAUUUUCAAUAUCUGGUAUCCAACAACUCUUGUGAUUGCUUCAUUAGACUGUCCAUAAAUUGACUAUUUCUUAAGUUGCAACACAAGCUUGUAUCUGAGCAAAACGUUACUUUUUAAAAUGAAACUGUUUAGAGAAAAUCUGAGCAGAGAAUGGGCUAAGUAUCCCUUCAGCUGGGGUACAACUGCAGGCCUGUUUUGCAUGCCCAGUUAUCAGCUGCUGGGGAGAGCAUGGAUCUGUUACGGCUAUUGUGUUUAAUGCCACCUAUGUCUAAGCACAGUUAAUGGGGAGUUCAUAGUAAGUCUGUGUGUGUGUGGCUGUGAGCAAGGGACGUGAACUCAGGUGCGGGUACAUAGGUGCCAGCAGCUAGGGAGAGUGGAAUCUAAGGGCAGCCACUGGGCAGGUUGAGUGCUUGGGUCCAGCUGCUGAGGGGACCCACCUUAUACAUAGAAAUGUAUCUAUUUCCUACUAUUUGUCUGCUUCUGUAGUCCACACGUGGCAGAAACUCUAAACUAGAGAAGGGGACCACCCUCACAGGUGCUACUGUGACUUGCAGUAUGUGCUCUGGGCUGUGCUUACUGGAAACUGGAAGCUGUGGUGCAAUAGGUAGCCAGUUAAUCCACAUCUGUGCAGUGCCCUGAUAAAGCAACUCAGAACAGAAUUUGACUGAAUUUCACAUCCAACAGAAGUUAGAUAAUGCAGCUUAUGUUUCUAGUUAGCAUUGUAAUAACACAGACACCAGAUGCUGGAAGAAGACAUAAUUGCUUGAUGGAAAAUAAAGCACAGUUUGUAAUCUGUACUGUUACUUUUUUUUUUUUUUUAAUCUCUUCUGAUAUGCAUAUGAAAUAAGAACAUUCAAG
ensembl:lncRNA